rnacentral:rRNA from 1 species
AGAGUUUGAUCCUGGCUCAGGAUGAACGCUGGCGGCGUGCCUAAUACAUGCAAGUCGAGCGAACCACUUCGGUGGUGAGCGGCGAACGGGUGAGUAACACGUAGGUUAUCUGCCCAUCAGACGGGGACAACGAUUGGAAACGAUCGCUAAUACCGGAUAGGACGAAAGUUUAAAGGUGCUUCGGCACCACUGAUGGAUGAGCCUGCGGCGCAUUAGCUAGUUGGUAGGGUAAAGGCCUACCAAGGCGACGAUGCGUAGCCGACCUGAGAGGGUGAACGGCCACACUGGGACUGAGACACGGCCCAGACUCCUACGGGAGGCAGCAGUAGGGAAUCUUCGGCAAUGGGCGAAAGCCUGACCGAGCAACGCCGCGUGAAUGAUGAAGGCCUUCGGGUUGUAAAAUUCUGUUAUAAGGGAAGAAUGGCUCUAGUAGGAAAUGGCUAGAGUGUGACGGUACCUUACUGAGAAGCCACGGCUAACUACGUGCCAGCAGCCGCGGUAAUACGUAGGUGGCGAGCGUUAUCCGGAAUUAUUGGGCGUAAAGAGCGCGCAGGUGGUUGAUUAAGUCUGAUGUGAAAGCCCACGGCUUAACCGUGGAGGGUCAUUGGAAACUGGUCAACUUGAGUGCAGAAGAGGGAAGUGGAAUUCCAUGUGUAGCGGUGAAAUGCGUAGAGAUAUGGAGGAACACCAGUGGCGAAGGCGGCUUCCUGGUCUGUAACUGACACUGAGGCGCGAAAGCGUGGGGAGCAAACAGGAUUAGAUACCCUGGUAGUCCACGCCGUAAACGAUGAGUGCUAAGUGUUGGGGGUCGAACCUCAGUGCUGAAGUUAACGCAUUAAGCACUCCGCCUGGGGAGUACGGUCGCAAGAC